UACGAGUGCCUCAAGCGUUAUCCGGAAUUAUUGGGCGUAAAGGGUGUGUAGGCGGUCUUGCUAGUCUUGUGUUAAAACCAGAAGCUCAACUUCUGAUAUGCAUAGGAAACGGCAAAACUAGAGUGCGCGAGAGGUUUGCGGAACUCAUGGUGUAGGGGUGAAAUCCGUUGAUAUCAUGGGGAACACCAAAUGCGAAGGCAGCAAACUGGCGCGUCACUGACGCUGAAACACGAAAGCGUGGGUAGCGAAUGGG
rnacentral:rRNA from 1 species